UAGCUUGCGAAAGCUGCGGGGAGCUGGCAAACGAGCUUUGAUCCGCAGAUGUCCGAAUGGGGAAACCCGGCCCGAAUGGGUCAUCUGUUACUGAAUACAUAGGUAACAGAGGCGAACGCAGUGAACUGAAACAUCUAAGUAGCUGCAGGAAAAGAAAUCAACCGAGAUUCCCAAAGUAGUGGCGAGCGAAAUGGGAACAGCCUUGUACUCUUUAGCAGUAUUGUUAGCGGAACGGAAUGGAAAGUCCGGCCAUAGUGGGUGAUAGCCCCGUACGCGAAAACAGUAUUGUGGAACUAGGUGUACGACAAGUAGGGCGGGACACGUGAAAUCCUGUCUGAAGAUGGGGGGACCAUCCUCCAAGGCUAAAUACUCGUGAUCGACCGAUAGUGAACCAGUACCGUGAGGGAAAGGCGAAAAGAACCCCGGGAGGGGAGUGAAAUAGAUCCUGAAACCGCAUGCAUACAAACAGUCGGAGCCUGGAAACGGGUGACGGCGUACCUUUUGUAUAAUGGGUCAGCGACUUACAUUCAGUGGCAAGCUUAACCGAUUAGGGAAGGCGUAGCGAAAGCGAGUCCGAAUAGGGCGUUCAGUCGCUGGGUGUAGACCCGAAACCAAGUGAUCUAUCCAUGGCCAGGUUGAAGGUGCGGUAACACGUACUGGAGGACCGAACCCACUAACGUUGAAAAGUUAGGGGAUGAGCUGUGGAUAGGGGUGAAAGGCUAAACAAACUUGGAAAUAGCUGGUUCUCUCCGAAAACUAUUUAGGUAGUGCCUCGUGUCUCACCUUCGGGGGUAGAGCACUGUCAUGGUUGGGGGGUCUAUUGCUGAUUACCCCGCCAUAGCAAACUCCGAAUACCGAAGAGUGCAAUCACGGGAGACAGACAUCGGGUGCUAACGUCCGGUGUCAAGAGGGAAACAACCCAGACCGCCAGCUAAGGUCCCUAAGAUUGGCUAAGUGGGAAACGAAGUGGGAAGGCUAAAACAGUCAGGAGGUUGGCUUAGAAGCAGCCACCCUUUAAAGAAAGCGUAAUAGCUCACUGAUCGAGUCGUCCUGCGCGGAAGAUGUAACGGGGCUAAGCCAGUCACCGAAGCUGCGGAUGCACGUAAGUGCAUGGUAGGAGAGCGUUCUGUAAGCCUGUGAAGGUGUCUUGUAAAGGAUGCUGGAGGUAUCAGAAGUGCGAAUGCUGACAUGAGUAGCGAUAAAGGGGGUGAAAGGCCCCCUCGCCGUAAGCCCAAGGUUUCCUACGCAACGUUCAUCGGCGUAGGGUGAGUCGGCCCCUAAGGCGAGGCAGAGAUGCGUAGCUGAUGGGAAGCAGGUUAAUAUUCCUGCACCGUCGUAUGAUGCGAUGGGGGGACGGAUCGCGGAAGGUUGUCCGGGUGUUGGAUGUCCCGGUCCCUGCAUUGGAGAUGGCACUUAGGCAAAUCCGGGUGCGUGAUUCAAGGGUGUGGGGCGAGCGACUUUAGGUCGCGAAGCAAUUGGAAGUGGUUCCAAGAAAAGCCUCUAAGCUUCAGUCAUACGAGACCGUACCGCAAACCGACACAGGUGGGCGAGAUGAGUAUUCUAAGGCGCUUGAGAGAACUCGGGAGAAGGAACUCGGCAAAUUGGUACCGUAACUUCGGGAUAAGGUACGCCCUUGUAGUUUGACUGGCUCGCGCCAGAGGAUGAAGGGGUUGCAAUAAAAUGGUGGCUGCGACUGUUUAAUAAAAACACAGCACUCUGCAAACACGAAAGUGGACGUAUAGGGUGUGACGCCUGCCCGGUGCCGGAAGAUUAAAUGAUGGGGUGCAAGCUCUUGAUUGAAGUCCCGGUAAACGGCGGCCGUAACUAUAACGGUCCUAAGUAGCGAA
rnacentral:rRNA from 1 species